rnacentral:tRNA from 1 species
GAGGGUAUAGCUCAGUGGUAGAGCACAUGCUUAGCAUGCACGAGGUCCUGGAUUCAAUCUCCAGGACUUCCA